GGUUAAGCGACUAAGCGUACACGGUGGAUGCCCUGGCAGUCAGAGGCGAUGAAGGGCGUGCUAAUCUGCGAUAAGCGCCGGUAAGGUGAUAUGAACCGUUAUAACCGGCGAUACCCGAAUGGGGAAACCCAGUGUGAUUCGUCACACUAUCAUUAACUGAAUCCAUAGGUUAAUGAGGCGAACCGGGGGAACUGAAACAUCUAAGUACCCCGAGGAAAAGAAAUCAACCGAGAUUCCCCCAGUAGCGGCGAGCGAACGGGGAGGAGCCCAGAGCCUGAAUCAGCAUGUGUGUUAGUGGAAGCGUCUGGAAAGGCGCGCGAUACAGGGUGACAGCCCCGUACACAAAAGCGCAUGUGCUGUGAGCUCGAUGAGUAGGGCGGGACACGUGGUAUCCUGUCUGAAUAUGGGGGGACCAUCCUCCAAGGCUAAAUACUCCUGACUGACCGAUAGUGAACCAGUACCGUGAGGGAAAGGCGAAAAGAACCCCGGCGAGGGGAGUGAAAAAGAACCUGAAACCGUGUACGUACAAGCAGUGGGAGCCCCACCACCAAAGCAUUCUCUGGUGUUGAAGGCCCUGCAAAGCAGCAUCGCGGUGGCGGAGCGUCGUUUGCGACGCCCAACACACAAAACAAGCGGUGAAUGCUUUGGGGUGGGGUGACUGCGUACCUUUUGUAUAAUGGGUCAGCGACUUAUAUUCUGUAGCAAGGUUAACCGAAUAGGGGAGCCGGAGGGAAACCGAGUCUUAAUUGGGCGUUAAGUUGCAGGGUAUAGACCCGAAACCCGGUGAUCUAGCCAUGGGCAGGUUGAAGGUUGGGUAACACUAACUGGAGGACCGAACCGACUAAUGUUGAAAAAUUAGCGGAUGACCUGUGGCUGGGGGUGAAAGGCCAAUCAAACCGGGAGAUAGCUGGUUCUCCCCGAAAGCUAUUUAGGUAGCGCCUCGUGAAUUCAUCUCCGGGGGUAGAGCACUGUUUCGGCUAGGGGGCCAUCCCGGCUUACCAACCCGAUGCAAACUGCGAAUACCGGAGAAUGUUAUCACGGGAGACACACGGCGGGUGCUAACGUCCGUCGUGAAGAGGGAAACAACCCAGACCGCCAGCUAAGGUCCCAAAGUCAUGGUUAAGUGGGAAACGAUGUGGGAAGGCCCAGACAGCCAGGAUGUUGGCUUAGAAGCAGCCAUCAUUUAAAGAAAGCGUAAUAGCUCACUGGUCGAGUCGGCCUGCGCGGAAGAUGUAACGGGGCUAAACCAUGCACCGAAGCUGCGGCAGCGAACGUAUCACUUAAAGCGAUUCAGCGGGUUACGAUUGACGGAGCGAAGCGACGUCAAAGCGUAUACAAAGUCGAGUCGGUUUAAGGAUACGUUCGUUGGGUAGGGGAGCGUUCUGUAAGCCCGUGAAGGUGGCCUGUGAGGGUUGCUGGAGGUAUCAGAAGUGCGAAUGCUGACAUAAGUAACGAUAAAGCGGGUGAAAAGCCCGCUCGCCGGAAGACCAAGGGUUCCUGUCCAACGUUAAUCGGGGCAGGGUGAGUCGACCCCUAAGGCGAGGCCGAAAGGCGUAGUCGAUGGGAAACGGGUUAAUAUUCCCGUACUUGGUGUUACUGCGAAGGGGGGACGGAGAAGGCUAUGUUGGCCGGGCGACGGUUGUCCCGGUUUAAGCGUGUAGGUGUGUGUUCCAGGUAAAUCCGGUUCACUUUAACACUGAGGCGUGACGACGAGGCACUACGGUGCUGAAGCAACAAAUGCCCUGCUUCCAGGAAAAGCCUCUAAGCAUCAGGUAACACGAAAUCGUACCCCAAACCGACACAGGUGGUCAGGUAGAGAAUACCAAGGCGCUUGAGAGAACUCGGGUGAAGGAACUAGGCAAAAUGGUGCCGUAACUUCGGGAGAAGGCACGCUGACACGUAGGUGAAGUGAUUUACUCAUGGAGCUGAAGUCAGUCGAAGAUACCAGCUGGCUGCAACUGUUUAUUAAAAACACAGCACUGUGCAAACACGAAAGUGGACGUAUACGGUGUGACGCCUGCCCGGUGCCGGAAGGUUAAUUGAUGGGGUCAGCGUAAGCGAAGCUCCUGAUCGAAGCCCCGGUAAACGGCGGCCGUAACUAUAACGGUCCUAAGGUAGCGAAAUUCCUUGUCGGGUAAGUUCCGACCUGCACGAAUGGCGUAAUGAUGGCCAGGCUGUCUCCACCCGAGACUCAGUGAAAUUGAACUCGCUGUGAAGAUGCAGUGUACCCGCGGCAAGACGGAAAGACCCCGUGAACCUUUACUAUAGCUUGACACUGAACAUUGAGCCUUGAUGUGUAGGAUAGGUGGGAGGCUUUGAAGUGUGGACGCCAGUCUGCAUGGAGCCGACCUUGAAAUACCACCCUUUAAUGUUUGAUGUUCUAACGUGGACCCGUAAUCCGGGUUGCGGACAGUGUCUGGUGGGUAGUUUGACUGGGGCGGUCUCCUCCUAAAGAGUAACGGAGGAGCACGAAGGUUGGCUAAUCCUGGUCGGACAUCAGGAGGUUAGUGCAAUGGCAUAAGCCAGCUUGACUGCGAGCGUGACGGCGCGAGCAGGUGCGAAAGCAGGUCAUAGUGAUCCGGUGGUUCUGAAUGGAAGGGCCAUCGCUCAACGGAUAAAAGGUACUCCGGGGAUAACAGGCUGAUACCGCCCAAGAGUUCAUAUCGACGGCGGUGUUUGGCACCUCGAUGUCGGCUCAUCACAUCCUGGGGCUGAAGUAGGUCCCAAGGGUAUGGCUGUUCGCCAUUUAAAGUGGUACGCGAGCUGGGUUUAGAACGUCGUGAGACAGUUCGGUCCCUAUCUGCCGUGGGCGCUGGAGAACUGAGGGGGGCUGCUCCUAGUACGAGAGGACCGGAGUGGACGCAUCACUGGUGUUCGGGUUGUCAUGCCAAUGGCACUGCCCGGUAGCUAAAUGCGGAAGAGAUAAGUGCUGAAAGCAUCUAAGCACGAAACUUGCCCCGAGAUGAGUUCUCCCUGAGACUUAGAGUCUCCUGAAGGAACGUUGAAGACGACGACGUUGAUAGGCCGGGUGUGUAAGCGCAGCGAUGCGUUGAGCUAACCGGUACUAAUGAACCGUGAGGCUUAACCUU
rnacentral:rRNA from 1 species